rnacentral:rRNA from 1 species
UACUCCUACGGGAGGCAGCAGUGGGGAAUAUUGCACAAUGGGCGCAAGCCUGAUGCAGCCAUGCCGCGUGUAUGAAGAAGGCCUUCGGGUUGUAAAGCACUUUCAGCGGGGAGGAAGGCGGUGAGGUUAAUAACCUCUAUCGAUGACGUACC